CGCAAACCAAAGCCAGCAUUAUGACCAUAGUUCAAUGAAUUGCCUCUAAUUCAAAUUUUCUGUGUCCAGAUUACCAAAAUGGGGAUGGUAAAAUUGGUACACAGGCUUGAUCGGGACAGAAGCCGGUGAAACCACUGACAAAUAUGAAAAUGUCUGCAGAUAGAUCAGCCUCAAACUCAUAGUUGAUGCAGAUGAUAGAUACAAAUUCUUUGUUAUGCCGGAUAUAAGGAAAAUAUUAUUUUACUGUAGGAGAGUGAUACAGUCCUCCAAAAGCUGUGGAGACCACAUUGCUGAAGACAGUUUGGGAUUUUGUAUCCCUGGAGUUUUCCAAUUCUGAGCUAGCUGGAGCUACAGUUGACCUGACCUACUGUUCCUUCCAACCUCUCUAUCAUUCUUUGAAAUCUACAUUAGACUGAACAUGAUUUUACUGCAGCACGUCUUGGCUAUGAUCCUAAAUCUCACAUGUAGCUCUUCUUAUCAUGUAGAUAACCCUUCCCAAUGCCAAUGACUGCAGAAGAAACUCAUGUCCCCAGGCAAUUCCUCAGAUGACUGCUUCCAACAGAAGACAAAGAAGAGGAUGAAAAGAAUCAAGUCAAGUUUUGCAGACCACAGCAAGAGAGCCAAGAAAACUAAAAGAAUGUUGUCGUUCACUCAGGUAAUAGUAACUUUGAGGUCCGUAACUUUUCUUUUUGAUAAGUUGUAUUUUGGUAGCAGAGAAAGCGUACAGACUCAGAUAUUCAUGUCAUUCAGCUGCCUUUAUCUAUUUAGAAGCGAAUGGAACUGAUAACAGAAAGAUAAAGGUGUGCUUUUAAUUCUUCUUGAUGGUUAUUCCCUAAGAAAUGAGUUUCAAAUUUUCCUUGCUGUCUUAAUUUGUCACUUGUGUCUGUUAUCCAGUUCUGUGUUAGGAAUUUUGGCUUGUGCAUGACGCAGAUUAGAGACCUGUAGAAAGAAUCCUCUUAAGAACAGAAUAAAAAAAAAGAAACAGCAACA
rnacentral:lncRNA from 1 species